UCGCCUACGCGACAACGUCGUUAACGCACGUCGUCUUCGUCAUCUCUGUCAGUUCUACGAUUUCCGUUCUCGGAGUAAUGAUUAGUACAUUACAAUUAUACCUAAUAUCGUCUCUCGUCGUAAUAAUUUUAUCACGCGCGUAGUACAGUAUAUGCCGUACAAUUUCAUCAAGAGUUGUGCCGAAAUAUUUUUAUAAUAUCACCUAAUUUCCGUCUUAUAGCAAAGGAAUUAUAUUUAUUAAAUGACAUACAAAGGAAUAUUUAAAGAAAGUACAUCGACAUUGGCACUAAAUCAAUAUAUUGGGGUUUUAAAAAUUGUAUACUCCUCAAUAUCGAUCAUUCGUAUUCCGUGAGUGGGAUUUAGGCGCAGCAAAACAACAAUAUAAGUAUGAACGUAAUAUUAUAAUUACACAAUAAACAUAUAUAUACACACGAUGUCUAUGUGAUUUAUUUUAAGUUUAUUUUUCUAUUAUAUCUGCCGUUAAAAAAUGUAAAUAUAUUUAUAAUACUACCUAUGUGAAAUUAUUCAAAAGAAAGUUGGGAAUACUCUACUACGAGACAUUACUAUACAGCCGUUAACAAAAAUAUUACAUAUUUUAUAAGUUUGUAUUUUUAUUAUAAGUUUUAAACUGCACGCAGUUUUAAGAAUAACAUUUAAGCGCAUCAAUUGUUGUACCUAAUGACUAUUUAAUUUGAUUUUUAUUGUAAGAAUCUGAAAUUUCUGUAUCACUAAAACGGUGUAAAUAAUAUUAAAAUAUUUCUAAUUGUAUUAAAUAUUAGGUUAAUUUAUAAUAAGUCUUAGUGACCGUCGAAUUGUACACGCACAUAUUAUUGUAAUAAGGUAAUAUGUUUAAUUUUUCAUAACAGUAAAAAUUUCAUAGUUUUAGUACUAUAUAAAUAAUUGUAAUUCUAUUGGUACCUUUAAACUGUUGUUUUAAAACUAUUUACUGUAUAUAUUAUAAUAAAAUAAUA